rnacentral:rRNA from 1 species
AACGAACGCUGGCGGCAUGCCUAACACAUGCAAGUCGAACGAGAUCUUCGGAUCUUGUGGCGCACGUGUGCGUAACGCGUGGGAAUCUGCCCCUUUCUUCGGAAUAACAGUUAGAAAUUACUGCUAAUACCGGAUGAUGUCUUCGGACCAAAGAUUUAUCGGCAAGGGAUGAGCCCGCGUAGGAUUAGGUAGUUGGUGGGGUAAUGGCCUACCAAGCCGACGAUCCUUAGCUGGUAUGAGAGGAUGAUCAGCCACACUGGGACUGAGACACGGCCCAGACUGCUACGGGAGGCAGCAGAGGGGAAUAUUGGAAAAUGGGCGAAAGCCUGAUCAAGCAAUGCCGGGUGAGUGAUGAAGGGCGUAGGGUUGUAAAGCUCUUUUACCAGGGAAGAUAAUGACAGUACCUGGAGAAUAAGCUCCGGCUAACUCCGUG